GGCCUGGCUGGCCGGUCCGCCUCACCGCGUGCACUGGUCCGGCCGGGUCUUUCCCUCUGGGGAACCCCAUGCCCUUCACUGGGCGUGGCGGGGAACCAGGACUUUUACUUUGAAAAAAUUAGAGUGUUCAAAGCAGGCCUAUGCUCGAAUACAUUAGCAUGGAAUAAUAGAAUAGGACGUGCGGUUCUAUUUUGUUGGUUUCUAGGACCGCCGUA
rnacentral:rRNA from 1 species